rnacentral:rRNA from 1 species
UACAGAGGUCUCAAGCGUUGUUCGGAUUCAUUGGGCGUAAAGGGUGCGUAGGUGGCGCUGUAAGUCAGGUGUGAAAUUUCGGAGCUUAACUCCGAAACUGCAUUUGAUACUGCGGUGCUUGAGGACUGGAGAGGAGACUGGAAUUCACGGUGUAACAGUGAAAUGCGUAGAGAUCGUGAGGAAGACCAGUGGCGAAGGCGGGUCUCUGGACAGUUCCUGACACUGAGGCACGAAGGCCAGGGGAGCAAACGGG